AAUAGAUACCCCCGGUAGUCCACGCCGUAAAACGAUGGAUACUAGCUGUUCGAGCGCAAGUUUGAGUGGCUAAGCGAAAGUGAUAAGUAUCCCACCUGGGGAGUACGGGCGCAAGCCUGAAACUCAAAGGAAUUGACGGGGGCCCGCACAAGCGGUGGAGCAUGUGGUUUAAUUCGAUGAUACGCGAGGAACCUUACCAGGGCUUAAAUGUAGAUUGACGUAUUUGGAAACAGAUAUUUCUUCGGACAAUUUACAAGGUGCUGCAUGGUUGUCGUCAGCUCGUGCCGUGAGGUGUCAGGUUAAGUCCUAUAACGAGCGCAACCCCUGUUGUUAGUUGCCAGCGAGUAAUGUCGGGAACUCUAGCAAGACUGCCAGUGUAAACUGUGAGGAAGGUGGGGAUGACGUCAAAUCAUCACGGCCCUUACGUCCUGGGCCACACACGUGCUACAAUGGCCGGUACAGAGAGCAGCCACUUAGCGAUAAGGAGCGAAUCUAUAAAGCCGGUCACAGUUCGGAUCGGAGU
rnacentral:rRNA from 1 species